CGGGCGGCAUCUAUACAUGCAGUCGAGCGGACAGAAGGGAGCUUGCUCCCGGAUGUUAGCGGCGGACGGGUGAGUAACACGUGGGUAACCUGCCUGUAAGACUGGGAUAACUCCGGGAAACCGGAGCUAAUACCGGAUAGUUCCUUGAACCGCAUGGUUCAAGGAUGAAAGACGGUUUCGGCUGUCACUUACAGAUGGACCCGCGGCGCAUUAGCUAGUUGGUGAGGUAACGGCUCACCAAGGCGACGAUGCGUAGCCGACCUGAGAGGGUGAUCGGCCACACUGGGACUGAGACACGGCCCAGACUCCUACGGGAGGCAGCAGUAGGGAAUCUUCCGCAAUGGACGAAAGUCUGACGGAGCAACGCCGCGUGAGUGAUGAAGGUUUUCGGAUCGUAAAGCUCUGUUGUUAGGGAAGAACAAGUGCAAGAGUAACUGCUUGCACCUUGACGGUACCUAACCAGAAAGCCACGGCUAACUACGUGCCAGCAGCCGCGGUAAUACGUAGGUGGCAAGCGUUGUCCGGAAUUAUUGGGCGUAAAGGGCUCGCAGGCGGUUUCUUAAGUCUGAUGUGAAAGCCCCCGGCUCAACCGGGGAGGGUCAUUGGAAACUGGGAAACUUGAGUGCAGAAGAGGAGAGUGGAAUUCCACGUGUAGCGGUGAAAUGCGUAGAGAUGUGGAGGAACACCAGUGGCGAAAGCGACUCUCUGGUCUGUAACUGACGCUGAGGAGCGAAAGCGUGGGGAGCGAACAGGAUUAGAUACCCUGGUAGUCCACGCCGUAAACGAUGAGUGCUAAGUGUUAGGGGGUUUCCGCCCCUUAGUGCUGCAGCUAACGCAUUAAGCACUCCGCCUGGGGGAGUACGGUCGCAAGACUGAAACUCAAAGGAAUUGAACGGGGGCCCGCACAAGCGGUGGAGCCAUGUGGAUUAAUUCGAAGCAAC
rnacentral:rRNA from 1 species